CGGAGCGUAGCGCAGCCUGGAUAGCGCACUUGCUUUGGGAGCAAGGGGUCGCCGGUUCGAAUCCGGCCGCUCCGACCA
rnacentral:tRNA from 1 species